rnacentral:lncRNA from 1 species
GGCUGUAAAUGUACCUGUACAGCAUAUAUGUCGCUAAUUAGACAUGUAAAAUGUUACCAUAAUAUUGAUAAUGAUUUCAUUGAUAAAAAUCCUGAGCCAAAAUACAUAGUAAUCCAUUAAAUGAUAAUCGUAACGAUUUAUUGCCUAAUUUUUCAGAAUAUUCAUUGCCUAGUUUCCCAGAGAAUUCUACUUAUCAAGUUUACACUUAACCUGAAAAAACAAUAGAAUAUAUUGAUCCUUUGUUAGUUUCUUCAUUGUGAACAAGCAGCAGUGUUCCUUAUUACAUUAUACCUGAAGUAAUUGUUUCUGUUAACAGUAAUUUCAUAAUCAUUAGUUUCCUAUAUUGCAGUGCUCAAAUAGUUUUUCAAAGCUUGCCAAUCAAAUGUAAUUAUUUCACAAAAAAAGGUUUUCCUUGAAUUUUUUGAAAUUUCUUUAGACAUUGCUGAUCAUUGAUCGGUUGUUAUUUUGAGCGAUGAUAUUGGUAAUGCUGCUUUAUCAGUUUUCAAUGACAUUAGAGCAGAUUCCACUCUAUUAAUGUUUAAGAGUAAGUUUGAAAGUAGUGUUAUACAUUGCAAUGAGUCACUCAAGUUUUCAAGUUUUUUAUAUAAACAAGAUAAACACUUAGAAAAAAAUUCUCUUUUUGUAACUUCUGAAACAUGCAACAUGGGCCCUCCUAGAUGUGAAACUUAUGAGGGAAUUUCAAAGAUAGUUUCAUUUUAUUGAAGAGGUAUCAAGUAAUAUUACAUUGCAUGAUGGCUUUAACACUUGCAAACAAAACAUUUUGUUACUAGCAAGAGAUUCAAUGUUCAAAAAUACUUUGUCAGAAGACUAAUAUAAUGGAGGUAUAUAUAUGUCUACUACCCUAAGUGGGGAGAAUGAAUAAAUAAGAACUUUAUAACUUAAAUAAGAAAUUUUACAACAUAAUUGUCAAUCUGCAUAAGUACUAAGCUGCUGCAACUUGACUAUGUGCCAAUCUGCAAAAGUGCGAAGUUUCUCUUUCUCAUCUUAUUUCAUUUAUUAGUUCCUUAUGUAAUAUACCCUUUUAAUCCAAAAGAAGGUUUUUUUAUAAUCUACCUAUAAAGGUUUAUAAGUAUAUACAAGUUGUUCCCUGAUUUAUUUUUAUUUUUAUUUAGAAGAUGCAGCUUUUCUUGCAUUUAAGGCGCUCCCUUUUCUUAUGAUAGCACCUCCACAGAAGAGCAAGAAGAGUCCAAGAAUUUGGGUAUAUUUUAUAGAGAAAUGGAUGUACACCUCAGUCUUGAAAGCUCCCUUGAGAAUUGAAGAAGGAGAAAGUUUUUCUACUGAUUUUAUUCAAGUGUUGCAGCACUCUAUUUAUAAUUCAAAUUAUAACUCUAAUUAUAAGUCGAUAAUACAGCUAUACGGUUGAAAGCCAUACCGAGUAUUAGAUUUGCUUUUGAGUUGCAGCUAGUCUCUUAUUAUGUAUUUAAUGUCAAUUUUCCUCAUGAACUUAUUUGUGUAUAUAGAUUUAUGGGAAAUUUGCUUGGAAUAAACAACAAAAGAAU